rnacentral:rRNA from 1 species
AACGAACGCUGGCGGCAGGCUUAACACAUGCAAGUCGAGCGCCCCGCAAGGGGAGCGGCAGACGGGUGAGUAACGCGUGGGAAUCUACCCAUCUCUACGGAAUAACGCAUGGAAACGUGUGCUAAUACCGUAUACGUCCUUCGGGAGAAAGAUUUAUCGGAGAUGGAUGAGCCCGCGUUGGAUUAGCUAGUUGGUGGGGUAAAGGCCUACCAAGGCAACGAUCCAUAGCUGGUCUGAGAGGAUGAUCAGCCACACUGGGACUGAGACACGGCCCGGACUACUACGGGAGGCAGCAGUGGGGAAUAUUGGACAGUGGGCGCAAGCCUGAUCCAGCCAUGCCGCAUGAGUGAUGAAGGCCCUAGGGUUGUAAAGCUCUUUCACCGGUGAAGAUAAUGACGGUAACCGGAGAAGAAGCCCCGGCUAACUUCGUGCCAGCCGCCGCCGUAACAC